rnacentral:misc_RNA from 1 species
ACUAACCCAAUGAAGUCUUCCAUUAACCAAGGCCUCCGACGGGCGGCGAACAAGCUGGUAUGAUAUCUUGCCUAGACUCCGCCAACUGGGGCUGCCUAGAGUUAGAAUUUGGACUUCAGAUUGUGAAUAGACGAGCCUACGGGCUCGAGGGUAACUACUAUGACCAUUCCUAUAGUAUACAAUCUUUACUACCUUGUAUUCCUGAGUUUUGGGAUGGAAUCCGAACCCAAAAA